rnacentral:rRNA from 1 species
GAUGAACGCUGGCGGCGUGCCUAAUACAUGCAAGUCGAGCGAACAGACGAGGAGCUUGCUCCUCUGACGUUAGCGGCGGACGGGUGAGUAACACGUGGAUAACCUACCUAUAAGACUGGGAUAACUUCGGGAAACCGGAGCUAAUACCGGAUAAUAUAUUGAACCGCAUGGUUCAAUAGUGAAAGACGGUUUUGCUGUCACUUAUAGAUGGAUCCGCGCCGCAUUAGCUAGUUGGUAAGGUAACGGCUUACCAAGGCGACGAUGCGUAGCCGACCUGAGAGGGGGAUAGGCCACACUGGAACUGAGACACGGUCCAGACUACUAAGGGAGGCAGCAGUAGGGAAUCGUCCGCAAUGGGCGAAAGCCUGACGGAGCAACGCCGCGUGAGUGAUGAAGGUCUUCGGAUCGUAAAACUCUGUUAUUAGGGAAGAACAAAUGUGUAAGUAACUAUGCACGUCUUGACGGUACCUAAUCAGAAAGCCACGGCUAACUACGUG